rnacentral:misc_RNA from 1 species
AAGUCGUAACAAGGUUUCCGUAGGUGAACAUUCGGAAGGAUCAUUACCGAAAUGCAGCGGGGGCAGACGGCCGCAAGGUCGCCGGCCGCCGCAUACACGCAUUCCACCACCCUUGACUUUGAGCACCGUUAUGUUUCCUCGGCAGGGACGCCUGCCAGCGGGGACCCAUCGAACACUUGCAGUAGCAGUAUUUGUCUGAGAAUAAACACAAAAAUCAAAACUUUCAACAAUGGAUCUCUUGGUUCUG